AUGCACGCUGGCGGCGUGCCUAAUCCAUGCCAGUCGAGCGAACAGACGAGGAGCUUGCUCCUCUGACGUUAGCGGCGGACGGGUGAGUAACACGUGGAUAACCUACCUAUAAGACUGGGAUAACUUCGGGAAACCGGAGCUAAUACCGGAUAAUAUAUUGAACCGCAUGGUUCAAUAGUGAAAGACGGUUUUGCUGUCACUUAUAGAUGGAUCCGCGCCGCAUUAGCUAGUUGGUAAGGUAACGGCUUACCAAGGCAACGAUGCGUAGCCGACCUGAGAGGGUGAUCGGCCACACUGGAACUGAGACACGGUCCAGACUCCUACGGGAGGCAGCAGUAGGGAAUCUUCCGCAAAGGGCGAAAGCCUGACGGAGCAACGCCGCGUGAGUGAUGAAGGUCUUCGGAUCGUAAAACUCUGUUAUUAGGGAAGAACAAAUGUGUAAGUAACUAUGCACGUCUUGACGGUACCUAAUCAGAAAGCCACGGCUAACUACGUG
rnacentral:rRNA from 1 species